rnacentral:tRNA from 1 species
UCGGGAGUAGCUUAAUUGGUAGAGCAUCAGACUCUGAAUCUGGGGGUUAUAGGUUCGAGUCCUAUCUCCCGAG